rnacentral:rRNA from 1 species
GUCCACGCCGUAAACGGUGGGCACUAGGUGUGGGAUUCACUCAACGGAUUCCGUGCCGCAGCUAACGCAUUAAGUGCCCCGCCUGGGGAGUACGGCCGCAAGGCUAAAACUCAAAGGAAUUGACGGGGCCCGCACAAGCGGCGGAGCAUGUUGCUUAAUUCGAGGCAACGCGAAGAACCUUACCUAGGUUUGACAUGUACGGAAAAGCUACAGAGAUGUGGUGUCCUUCGGGCCGGUACACAGGUGGUGCAUGGCUGUCGU